UACGGGGGGGGCAAGCGUUGUUCGGAAUUACUGGGCGUAAAGGGCUCGUAGGUGGCCAACUAAGUCAGACGUGAAAUCCCUCGGCUUAACCGGGGAACUGCGUCUGAUACUGGAUGGCUUGAGUUUGGGAGAGGGAUGCGGAAUUCCAGGUGUAGCGGUGAAAUGCGUAGAUAUCUGGAGGAACACCGGUGGCGGAAGGCGGCAUCCUGGACCAAUACUGACGCUGAAUAGCGAAAGCCAGGGGAGCAAACGGGG
rnacentral:rRNA from 1 species